GUGUGCGCCACAACUACUGAAGCCCGUGUGCCUAGAGCCUGUGCUCCGCAGCAAGAGAAGCCACCGCCAUAAGCCCGUGCAUUGCAGCAAAGAGGAGCCCCCGCCCUCCGCAGCUAGAGCAAGUCCACGCAGCAACAAAGACCCAGCAUGACCAAGAGCAUCAGAUUACAGACUGGAGAGUCCCAAGCAGAAGUCUAUGGCAUAUCACAAGAGGUCUCCCUGCAGAGCAUCGGAUCCAUCACUCCCCUCCUCCUGCCACUGGCACGACAACCUUGAACCCACAGCUGCUUCUUCUUCUGAGAGAGGAGGUAGUCCACAUCCACACCGCACUGCAGUGAAGGACAGGGCACGGGAUGUGCAGGCUGCA